AGUUCGUGGAGUGAUCUGUCUGCUUAAUUGCGUUUCACUAAGGGCUUAUUAAUUUAACGUGUGUUGUUAGGCGUAACUUUGACCCCUAAUUUUAAUAAAAUUAGUGCGUGUCUUAGUUUUUAUUGCUUUUAACUCACACAAUUAAGUCCUGAAAGCAACGAACGUGACCGCAACCUCUUGUUGCCUUUAUAUAUUUAUUUAUUUACGCCUCGCGCGUAAAAAAAUUAAAAAAAAAGGGUUUUUAAACUAGAGGGACCGCUGUAACUUUUUUAAACCAGAGGAAGGUUGCGGCAAUAACAGGUCU
rnacentral:rRNA from 1 species